CCACAGCUACCCAUGAAUGGUGGCACAGGACGAGGCAGCUGCAGCGAGGUAAGACUCCCUCCUGCUCUACUGCAGCAAAAUAUAGUGUUAUUUCUGUACGUAGAGGCAGGACCGCUUGUAUGAUGUGCUGUGUGUUUGUGUGUCUUUUCUGUUUUUUGAACUGGCUUGUUGAAAAUGUUAUUUUUUGAGAGGCUAUACUGAUAGAACACUUUCUGUCGGGCAGUUUGAGUAUGUGGCUUGAGCAGUGGUGGACUAUAACUAUUUAACA
rnacentral:lncRNA from 1 species